CAGCAGCCACGGUAAUACGGAGGGUGCAAGCGUUAAUCGGAAUUACUGGGCGUAAAGCGCACGCAGGCGGUCUGACAAGUCAGAUGUGAAAUCCCCGGGCUUAACCUGGGAACUGCAUUUGAAACUGUCAGGCUGGAGUCUUGUAGAGGGGGGUGGAAUUCCAGGUGUAGCGGUGAAAUGCGUAGAGAUCUGGAGGAAUACCGGUGGCGAAGGCGGCCCCCUGGACAAAGACUGACGCUCAGGUGCGAAAGCGUGGGGAGCAAACAGGAUUAGAUACCCGGUAGUCCCUGUCUCUUAUACA
rnacentral:rRNA from 1 species